GUACACUCCUGCGGGAGGCAGCAGUGGGGAAUUUUGGACAAUGGGCGAAAGCCUGAUCCAGCAAUGCCGCGUGAGUGAAGAAGGCCUUCGGGUUGUAAAGCUCUUUUGUCAGGGAAGAAACGGUGAAAGCUAAUAUCUUUUGCUAAUGACGGUACCUGAAGAAUAAGCACCGGCUAACUACGUGCCAGCAGCCGCGGUAAUACGUAGGGUGCAAGCGUUAAUCGGAAUUACUGGGCGUAAAGCGUGCGCAGGCGGUUUUGUAAGUCUGAUGUGAAAUCCCCGGGCUCAACCUGGGAAUUGCAUUGGAGACUGCAAGGCUAGAAUCUGGCAGAGGUGGGUAGAAUUCCACGUGUAGCAGUGAAAUGCGUAGAUAUGUGGAGGAACACCGAUGGCGAAGGCAGCCCCCUGGGUCAAGAUUGACGCUCAUGCACGAAAGCGUGGGGAGCAAACAGGAUUAGAAACCCGAGUAGUCCCAUGA
rnacentral:rRNA from 1 species